UUAAACCAAUUUCUAAUUACGUUUUUUUAUAAAUUGUCGAAAUUAACACCCCUGUUCCGAAAAUAUAAUAUUAAAAUAAUAAAUUGGUUAAUUUUAAAUUCGUUUAAUUUAAUUUUGCCCUAAUAUUAUGGGCGGCCUUCUUUAUAUUACCGCAAAUUGCAAUGCUAUUUUUUUUUAUCCGGACAGGUAUUAUAAUUCGGCAAAACGGCCAACAGGAGAACAUUAUUUUUCGAUAAUAGCCGAAAUUUUCCCUUUUUUAUACCCAUUUAAUUUUUUAAUUUAACAAAUGGAGGUUAUAUAAUUUUUCAGGGGUAUUUCCAUUUAUUAGGUAAUAUUAUAUGGAUUUAGCGCGUAUAAAAAUAAAAUUAUAUUAAAUUCGGGGUUUGUUAAACAAUCGAAUAAAUUAUCCAUUAAUACUAACCUUUUCUUUUAUUUUUCAACCUACCGUCACCUAUAAUAUUUAAACUCCUUUUAUCGCAAAUUUAAAAUUAAAAUAUCGAAACGAUCGAUCGGUCGGGCGUUACAAUUAAUUGGGUAAACGAGAAAAACGAUUCGUAAUAUCGCAUAAUAACGUAACGACGAUUUUCGAUAUUAUUACCUACACCGCAUUUUACAAUACCAAUCGUAUCGGUUCGUUUUUACCGGGGGUCCGGUUGCGACAGGCGGGUUGGGUAUCGAUUUCGAAAUUAAUUUCCGAAAAAUAACCUUUAUUAUAAACGUUAAUUAGGCUCGUUAUAACCCUGUUAAUUUGCUGCACGGUUAUUUAAAUUAUUCCAAAUUUGAAAUUUUAGGUAAACGUAACGAAAAUACCUGCUUUUUGGAAUAUAGCGCCUGCCGACCUUUUUACAAAUUGCGUCCGUUUCCGCUUUGCGUGCAAAUAUCCUACGUCUGGUUUUUUUUUCCUAACCGCGCGUGCGUCAAAAAUAGUCGUUUUUGGCGCGUCAACAUUUUUUUUCCGUAAUUUAUUAUAUAUAAUCCUGUUUUUUUUUUCCCAACGUUAAUAAUUAUCCAAAAAUUCGGUAUAACCCGAAUAAAGUAAAUUUAUUACCCAUAUAUUUUUAUACGGGUAAAACCAAUUUAAAAUCUUUCCCGGAAAAUUAUUAAAUUCAUUUAGGGGCAAUUAAGGGCAAAAUAAACGGGGAUAAAAAUUGCGCCGUGGCGUAAAAAUAAAAAAUUUUGCCGCCACAAAUGGAACCAAAUAUAUUGGCGAGGAAAAAAAAUAUAAUAAUAAUAGCGGUAAUUUCGGAUAUUUUAGCGUAAUAAUAGUUAUUUUUUCCCUAAAAAAGUUAACCAAAUAAUAUUAGCAAAAUUUUGUUACGGAAAUUCCGGGUUCGGGGCAUUUAAACUAUUAUUUGCGCGCAAUACGGUAAUUGGAAUAUAUUAAUUUGUAAUAAUGGUUAAUAAAGGUUCCUACCCACCAAAAUAAUAAAAAAAACUGCUAUUAUUACCGCUAUAAUAUACCACGACCUUUUAUAAUUAAAUUUUGUUUAAUAUUGAAAUUGGGUUCCCUAAAUUAAUAAAAACCGUUGUUGCGCGGAACAACGGGAAUAAAAAGGUUACAAAUAUAUUACAAUUGGGAAAAAAAACCUAAAAACAUAUAAACAAACCUGGUUUAACCGGGGGAAAACCCCGUGGUAUUUUAUGGGAAAUAGGAGGGGUUGGAAUUUUACAGGGCAAAUAUAAACCAGAUUUUAAAAUUUUGGUUAAACCCAACAAUUUAAAACAAAAUUAAAGGGAAAUUUAAAUUUGCCGUUAAAUUUUGGGGCGUAUUAAUUUUUAUUACAUACCCCAUUUUGAAAAUCGCAUGGCCUAAUCCGCCCAAAUUGGUUAGGGAUUUAUACGUAUAAUUGCAAGGCGUACGUAUUAAAUCCGGCCAGGGUAAAAAUUUAAAACAGGGUAAUAUUGAAAACGAAUCCAAAAUCCCACGUUAGGUAUUUGGUAAAUUAUAAAAUUACCAAAAUAUAUUAUAUAUAAAUGCCGUUUUUCGACAAAAUUAGUAUUUUACGCAACGUUCGGUUUAACAAAACCCGUUUUUAUAAAAAACCAAAAUAAAAGGCAAAGGAAACCGGCAAAUUAAUUGACGAAUAUAAACUGCUAAUUAAUAUAAUUUACGAACCCAAUUUGGAAAUUAUUAACACAGGCGUUGCCGAAAAAUUGGGCCUGUUACAAAAUAUGCUAAUAUUUACCCCAAAUUUAGGCGUUCCUAUCCCUAAUUUGGAAAUAAAUAACAUUUGGUAAUAAAAUAAACGAAACGCGGAAAAUGCAAACGAACGUUCCGACGAAAAAAUAAAAAUUUACGCAAAAUAAAAACCCGCACAAAUAAUUACGGGUGGACCGUUUCCAAAUAAAACGGCGAACCAACCGGAACCGCCUGGAAAAUAUAUAAAAGUUAACGAACCCAAAAAUUAUAUUUUAAUGGCGUCAAAAUACCCAACGGUUUUGGUAAAUAGGUACGGAACGCCCAAAACAGGAAAUAUUACGUACAAUUUUGGGGUAUGCACCCCAAAUAACACGAAAUUUCCACCAAUUAUAUCGACGAACCCCAAUAAGGGAUUAAAUGCGCCAAAACCGGUAAAAAGCAUAUUAUAAAUUAAACCGGGUUUCGCAACGGUUAAAACGGCAUUAUAAUAUAUUUCGCCGGAUUAAUCCGAGGCCGGGGGUGCAAAAACCCCUAAAUUAUAAUUUUUUAAUAAUUUACCCGCACGGACCGCCUUUUUUAUACGUGCGUUGGAGCCCCCAAAAAUGGGUUCCACGCGCGCAAACGAAUUUAGGCGAACGUUACGCGUUACGAAACCAAUUAUAAAAAUUUUGGAAAUAAAUGUAAAACCACGCAAAUAACGAAAUGGGGGAAACGUAUAACGCGGAAGGCGCAAAAAAAAUAAUAAUAAUACAAAUUUUGCAUAUAUAAUAUUCCCCGUGGGGAAGGAUUAAAUAAACGGAAAUAAUAAUGUAUUUAUUAAACAAAUAUAUAAUCCAAAUUGGAUAUUUGUACCGAAUUCCGAGGCGUGGGUAUUAUUUAUUAAAACGUUUUUAUUUAAUUAAUAAAAUACAUUGGAAGGCGGUAAUUACAAUUAUAAAAUAUUAUACGAAAUUGUCGCAGCAAUUAUAUAAUAAAAAAAACCGGAUUUGAAAAUUAAAUUAUAUCGAAAUAACCUAUUACCAAUUCCCAAAACCUGGAAAAAGUUUUUAAAUUAUCCAAAUUAUAUAUAAUUUACAAAAACGGCACGUUUGGAAUAGGAUAUUUUUAAAUAAAAAGAAAUAUAGGAAAUAAUACCGAAAUCCGAAAGCAAAACAAGGCCGGUUCCCCUUAUAUGGGUUUUUAUUUACAAAUUCGACAAAAACGGAUAUUUAAAACGGUAUAAAAUACAAUUCGUGGCCCGAAACGAUUAAUAAACGUCUAAUAUUUUUAAAAACAUUUACGCAACGAUUUUGGUAACGCGCAAUUUCAAAUUAAUAUUUGCGCUAAUGGUUUAUUUCGAUUUGGAAACGGAAUAAAUAAAUAUUAGCAAUACGUUCUUUAACGUAACGUUAAAUAUAAAAUUUCCCGUAUAUUGCACCGUUCCAAAGGGUUUUGGAAAUAAAAAAACUACGUUCAAAUUACGAAAAACGUUUUACGGAAUAAAAAAAUCCCCCAAAUUUUGGUACGAAAAACUUUUAAAAAUUUUGCAGGAUUUGGGGUUAUUAUUUGUAAAACACGAACCCUGCAUAUACGUAUUUGAACAAAAUAAAACUAUUGUAAUUUUUUUUGUAAAUAAUAUCGUUAUUUUUUAUUUUAAAAAAUAUAUUAAAAAGGGUAAAAUUGUAAUUUCAGGGCUAAAAACGAAAUACAAAUUGAAAAAAAAACCAUUAUCCUAAUUCCUGGAAAUGCGCGUAUUCCGAAAUAAAAAACGCCGCAUAGCAACGAUAUUACACGAUUUUUAUAUCGAAAAAAUUAAUAUACGUUUUAAAUUUACGGAAAAUAAGGGUUACCCGACAAUACCGUUUCCGGAAAAAUUUAUACCAAAAUUUGGAAUAAAACAUUUCCAAAAAAAAUAAAAUUGUACCAGGAAAUAAUUGGGUUAAUAUUAUAUACCGCCAUUAUAUUUCGACCUAACGUUGCCCACGCAAUUUCCUUAUUUUCCCGGUUUUUUACCAACCCGAACCUUUUCCACAGGCGGUUAACCAAACGGAUAUUAUAAUAUUUGUACGAAACGAGGUUUUUAAAAAUUAAAUACGGUAUUAUUUAAACGAUUUAGCAUUUAAUAAUAAUUAGCAACGUUUCGUUCGGAAAUAACCCAAAAAUUAAAAAAUCUUUUGAAAAAUACGUAAUAAUCUUAUUCGGGGGUAUUAUUAAUUGGAGGGCAGCCAAAUAAAAUACGGUAACUAUUUCGAUUACGGAGGUAAAAUUGCACGCCCUAUUUAAAACGGUUAAAAAAACCAUGGUAUUUAAACGGAUUUUCCGUAAUAUACGUUUAAAUUUAAAUUAACCAUAGGAAUUUUAUUGCGAUAAUAAACAAACCAUUCGUCUGGUAAUCGAUAAAAAUUUACGAAUUAGCACUAAUUUGCGCCACGUAAAUAUAUAAAAUAUAUAAUUAAAACAAAAAUAUGCGCGGGAAAAUAUUACAAUUACCUACCUGGAAAUUGAAUUUAUAUUUGCGGACGGAUUUACAAAACCAUUUUCCCUAAAUAAAUUCGAAUAUUUUAGGGCGUUUUUAAAUUUAUAUAACGUAUAAUACAAAGUGCAAAAAGGUUUACAAACGCGGUAAAAAACAUGGCGACAGGAUAUAUAACGUUUUAUUUAUUUAAAAAAAAAAAAAAAAAAAACACAAAAACCCUUAAUUUGGACCGAAACCCGCCCGCAUAUUAUAUUAAUUAUUGGCCGGCGCCAGCGCCGCCAAAGAACGAUAUAAAAUAAAUGCCCGUAAUGGGACGACCGUUCAGGGUCGCCGCCAUUACCGCCGGUAUACCCCCCACGAAAACCACCCCAAAAACGGCCUAAAUACCAUUAGGUAAUAUUAUUUAUACGUUUUACGGUACGAUAGGUACGCCAAAAACCCUAAUAACAGGUUUUGGCGCAGGAAUUUUUUUCGUUUAAAAAAUUGCCAAUUUUUUCGUUUGGGAUUCGGUCCAAUCCCGGAAAUAAUACGUAACCACGUUCCGAAAAAAUUGGACUUUUUUGGCAAAGGUACGCGGUAAACAAAAAAACGUAUGGCCCAAUUUACCCGCGGCGCGUUUAAAAAAUCCCCCAAUUGGAAAAAAGAGGCAGGUAUACCCGCCCCGGCAAUUCCAACAGCGCGGAGGACGCGCCCCGCGAAUACGGGAGCGCGCGCCCGGUUAAUUUACGCAAUGGCCGGUCGCAAUUCCGGCCAAAAAAAAAAAACAAAAAAAAAAAACGCCCUCGCAUACCCGAAAUAUGUAACCUAACGGGGGAUAAAUCCGUCAGGCUAUAUACGACGGGGACGAAAUGGACGCGAUUAAAUACGGUAUAUUAAUAUUAAAAACGCCUAAAAAAUAAGAAAAAAACGUGAAAAUAUUUACAAAACGUUUAAAAUAACCUUUACCCUCCCUUUUAUCUUCUUUUUCGUUUUCCUUUUCCUCCUUUUUCCUCCUUUUCCUCGAUUGGGUUUGCACAACCAAUUAGCGAAUUAAAUGCGCAAAAGGGUUUUUUUUGUUGCAAAUAACUGCUAAGAUUUUCCUUUAUCCCUACCGACAAACAAACAAAAAAAAGCAGAAUUGGCAGAUAUAAAAGUUUUAUAAUGGGCGCAAAUAUUUUAUCCUCGAUUUCCCAUUUAUCGAAAAUUAUUUACGAUAUAUUAAUAAUAAAAACAACCGUUACCACAAAUCGUUAAAAAAGCCUUUACUAAUGUUAAUUACCUCGACGAAACCCAGAACCAAAUUUUAAACGUUAUGGUCCAAAUAUAUAUCGACGGUUUUAGCGCAAAUUAUUUUAUAUUUUUGGUUUGUUUUGGCGUAUUUAUUUUUGGUUAUAAUUUUGUAAAUAAUUGUCAAUUACCCAAAUAAAAUCGCAAUUUGUUUUAUUUAAUGGGGUAUCGGCAAUUAUUUUUAAGGAAAAACCUUUGGUCCUAACGCCGGAUAAAAAUAUAGCCGAUCGAAAAAAAUGGCGCAAAAACCCAUUAUUAUUUGGUAUUUCGAUUUUAUUUGGAUAAAAAAAAUACACGAUAAUUUUAAAUCUUUAAUAUUUUUCCAAAUAUGGAUUUUAUAAAUGUAGUGGUAUGCGCGAUUCGGUAAUAAACCACGUUAAAUUAUUAAAAUUUAUUUUUUUUAUUUCGUUAAUCGAUAUAUUCGCAUAAUUUAUCGAAUUACGCAAAAUUGACCAGGUUUUAACAGCGAAAAAAAGGAAUUUUUACCGAAUAUAUUUUAAAAAAAUAAAAUUUGACGCAAUAUAUAUUUAGGUUCCGGUUUUUUAUAACAAUUUUAUAUCCAAUUUUUAUAUAAAAAAUAAUAUAAUAUCGCCAGUAAUUAGUUUUUAAACGAUUACCAAAUCCAAAAACACAAACCAACCCAAUUAAAACAACCACGCCGCCCAUAUCGCAAAUUAUAUCCAAAAUUAAUUAUAAAAACCUAUUUUAUAAUUAGAUCUUUUACCUUCCAUUAUACCGGUUUCGUCCAUAUUCCACCGAUUUUCCGGUAUAAUAUCGUUAAUAACGGGGUUGGUAAUAUAAAAUUACCAAGAUUUAAUUAUUUCCGUAAUAACCCCAUUAACCCGGGCGUUUUUUAUGCGACGGGGCCUUUGGGUUUUAAAAAUUGGAUAACGAACCAAAAACCGGGUUAUCCAACGUUUUCCAAAGCCUUUUAUUUCUCCGGCGGCCUAAAAAAUUCGUUCCGCAAAAAAGCGUAAUUUUUAAUACGUUGCUGGAAGGCCUAAAACGGCCUGGGCAAAUACCCAAUCCGCUAAAUGCUUUUCCUGUUCCGGUAAAAACUUUUGGAAUAGUUAUUUUAUUUGUUUUUUAAAUUGGACGCCGUUAAAACGACCUCGAAAAGUGCUUAUAGGUAUACCCCAUUUUCGGAAGGAUUUUAUAAUUAAUUCGCCAUUUUUAACGUCGUUAAUAACGGAAAUAAACUAAUUUUCGGUAUAUUUUUUUAUUUUGAAAAAUAAAAAAAAAAAAUUAAAAAAAAAUAAUGCAAAAAACAAAAAAUUUAUAAAAAUAUUUAUAAUAAAAGUUCGAAAAUAAAAAUAAAAAUAUUAUUAUUUUGGGGUGCGGUUAUUAGGGGGGUGCGGUUAGGGGGUACCUAACGUUAAUAUAAUAAUUAAUGGAAUCUCAAUUACGAAUUACAAAUUAAAAUAAUUAAAAAAGAUUACAAUUGAAAAAUAAUUUAUAUAAAACACGCUUAUUACCAUAUAAAUGGAUUAAUUUUUAGGAUUUUUAAACAGUAGUUUAUUUUUAAUUAACUGUAUUA
rnacentral:sRNA from 1 species